rnacentral:rRNA from 1 species
GACGAACGCUGGCGGCGUGCUUAACACAUGCAAGUCGAACGAAGUGGCGAACGGGUGAGUAACGCGUAAUCAACCUGCCCUUCAGGGGGGGACAACAGUUGGAAACGACUGCUAAUACCGCAUACUGAAGGAGGGGCUUGCGUCUGAUUAGCUAGUUGGCGGGGUAACGGCCCACCAAGGCGAUGAUCAGUAGCCGGGCCGAGAGGAUGAACGGCCACAUUGGGACUGAGAACCGGCCCCGACUCCUACGGGAGGCAGCAGUGGGGAAUCUUCCGCAAUGGACGAAAGUCUGACGGAGCAACGCCGCGUGAGUGAUGACGGCCUUCGGGUUGUAAAGCUCUGUUAAGCGGGACGCGGUACCGGAAGAGAAAGCCACGGCUAACUACGUGCCAGCAGCCGCGGUAAUUC